ACGAUGGAAGAGAACUCAUUCACAAAGUAAAAUGCAUCAAAAGUUCUUUUGCAGAUUACUUACCGGAAUCCAACGUGGUUCCGACAUCGUUAACAGCUUCGCAAGUAGCAUUCUCUACUUUACUCCAUUCUCUACUUCUUCGUUUAUGUUUCUUCUUCCUCUAUAACGUUGAUUUGGGUUGUAGAGAAUGCUUAGUUUCGUAUCGAUCCCCCAAUUGCAGAAUCGAUGCUUCGGUUGCAGAGUUGAAUUCAGAUUGCAGAGAAUGUUGUGAAGGAAAUGCAGAGAAAUUUGUAGAAUUACAGAGUGAAAAAAAUGUUGUGUAGCCAUUGCAGGGUGAAGGUUCGAUCUGUUAUAUAGAGGAAGGAGAAGCUGCAACUGAAUUAGACAAGUCGGGUAUUGUUAGGGCAGGUUUAACUCUGUUAAAUUUCACAAGGUAAGUUUGUUAGUAGUUGAAAUCUAUUAGGAAAUUAUGUUAUCCUUUGGUUAGUUGGUUAGGUUGGUUUUGAUUCAGUUGGAAAAUGGUUAUAAGUUUGUUACCAAGUUUGUUAGGAGGUUGGAAUGUAAUGAAAUUUUUUUAGUGAAAUGUAAUUUGAGAGUGAAAUAUUGAUGAAAUUCACUUCCUGUUUUUUAUGAAAUACCCUGCUGUUAUGUUGGUUAAUCAGUGAAAAUUCAGUUUGUUAGUUGAUUUAAAUAAAGUUAGUUUUCUGUUUGAAUUGCAGUAGCAGUGGCAUUAACAUGUUAAUUUUGGAAUGUUAAUUAAUUAGUAAAUGUAAAAAACUGUUAAUUAGUUUGAAUGAUUAAAAUGGAUAGUUAGCAUUAGGAGGUCAACCGAUGUACAAUGUUAUGCUAGUAACACUUAACAUUUUGAGACCUUGCUGGAAAUUCAAUGGGAUAUUCCUACUGUUAUGUUUUUAACCGUGUUACCACUGUAAUUGAGUUACUUCCAAACUGUAUGUUAUGGAUGAGAUUAGUUGGGUUUUUACUACUUUGAUCCAAUGAUUGGUUCUGUCAUCAAACCCCUUUUUAGGUGAAAUAUUAUUGAAUUCUGAUAUACACUUAUGCAUGGUAGGAUAUCAUGUUCUGUUAGCCAUUGAUGGCAAGUUGUUUUAUUGGUUUGUGAAGUAGUCACGAUUAUUGGUGAAUUCUUGGAAUGUUUGUAUAGCUGAUGUUAUGUAUUGCUAGAAAGGUGUGGAUAAUGAAGUUGGUUUUGUUGGCAUUGUAUUGGUUAGUAUGUGAAUGUUAGCUAUUGGACGUGUUGAAACGUGUUUGUAAUGUUGCAGGGCUGCUUGGAUGGACUCGAAGUUGCUUGCUCAAGUUUGGAUCAGUUGCACGAUUGGAAAUUGACAUAUAACUUAGGAUUGUCAAUGGUUGAUUUUCAUGUAAAUUCUUAAAAAAUGACAUUGUAAUUCUUAAAAAAUGACACUGUAAGGUUAUGUAUGGAAAUGGUUAUGUAUUGGUUUAUGCAUUGUAUUUGGGAAACUUUGAAUGGUUUU
rnacentral:lncRNA from 1 species